CUAAUCUCAACUAGGAAGGAAUCCUUGCGCUUAGAAAGUCCAAGCGAAAGGGUAUUCUGAUUUUAUCCCGGUUUUACCAGAAAAUGCUGAAAGGAAAAGCCCCGAGAGGACACAGUGCUCUAGGAACUCGGGGCGCCACGAGCGCCUCAUCCCCUCCCUUCCGCCCGGCCGCGGUGCCCUGGUCGCUGAGGGACGCGGUCAGUACCUACCGCCACUGCGACCCGAGAAGGGAAAGCCUCAACUUCUUCCUCUCGGAGUCCUGCCCACUACGGAUCUGCCUGGACUGGUUCAGAUGCGUCGUUUAAAGGGGGGGGCUGGCACUCCAGAGAGGAGGGGGCGCUGCAGGUUAAUUGAUAGCCACGGAAGCACCUAGGCGCCCCAUGCGCGGAGCCGGAGCCGCCAGCUCAGUCUGACCCCUGUCUUUUCUCUCCUCUUCCCUCUCCCACCCCUCACUCCGGGAAAGCGAGGGCCGAGGUAGGGGCAGAUAGAUCACCAGACAGGCGGAGAAGGACAGGAGUACAGAUGGAGGGACCAGGACACAGAAUGCAAAAGACUGGCAGAAGCAGGUUUGCGAGCUCGAAUACCUUUGCUCCACUGCCACACGCAGCACCGGGACUGGGCGUCUGGAGCUUAAGUCUGGGGGUCUGAGCCUGGGACCGGCAAAUCCGCGCAGCGCAUCGCGCCCAGUCUCGGAGACUGCAACCACCGCCAAGGAGUACGCGCGGCAGGAAACUUCUGCGGCCCAAUUUCUUCCCCAGCUUUGGCAUCUCCGAAGGCACGUACCCGCCCUCGGCACAAGCUCUCUCGUCUUCCACUUCGACCUCGAGGUGGAGAAAGAGGCUGGCAAGGGCUGUGCGCGUCGCUGGUGUGGGGAGGGCAGCAGGCUGCCCCUCCCCGCUUCUGCAGCGAGUUUUCCCAGCCAGGAAAAGGGAGGGAGCUGUUUCAGGAAUUUCAGUGCCUUCACCUAGCGACUGACACAAGUCGUGUGUAUAGGAAGGCGUCUGGCUGUUUCGGGACUCACCAGAGAGCAUCGCCAACCAGAACGGCCCACCCGGGGUGUCGAGUCUUGGUAGGGAAAUCAGACACAGCUGCACUCCCGGCCCGCGGGCCUUGUGGCAUAUAACCAUUUAUAUAUUUAUGAUUUC
rnacentral:lncRNA from 10 species